rnacentral:lncRNA from 1 species
CUACGCCAAAAGGUUACAGUUAUAUCACUACAUGUUUAUUUCUUUGCUGCCUGCUUGGCAUAUGAAAAAUAUAUUUCUGCUCUUGGACCAUCUGAAAUUCAACAGUCUUCUCUUCACACAAGCCAAACCCAGCUUUGAUGAUGACAGCUUGGCCACAUGCCAGGGUCUUGCUUUUAGUUAUUCUUGCUUGGUAAUUUAUUAUAAAGAAAGUA